GACGAACGCUGGCGGCGUGCCUAAUACAUGCAAGUUGAGCGCUGAAGGUUGGUACUUGUACCAACUGGAUGAGCAGCGAACGGGUGAGAAACGCGUGGGGAAUCUGCCUUUGAGCGGGGGACAACAUUUGGAAACGAAUGCUAAUACCGCAUAAAAACUUUAAACACAAGUUUUAAGUUUGAAAGAUGCAAUUGCAUCACUCAAAGAUGAUCCCGCGUUGUAUUAGCUAGUUGGUGAGGUAAAGGCUCACCAAGGCGAUGAUACAUAGCCGACCUGAGAGGGUGAUCGGCCACAUUGGGACUGAGACACGGCCCAAACUCCUACGGGAGGCAGCAGUAGGGAAUCUUCGGCAAUGGACGAAAGUCUGACCGAGCAACGCCGCGUGAGUGAAGAAGGUUUUCGGAUCGUAAAACUCUGUUGGUAGAGAAGAACGUUGGUGAGAGUGGAAAGCUCAUCAAGUGACGGUAACUACCCAGAAAGGGACGGCUAACUACGUG
rnacentral:rRNA from 1 species